rnacentral:lncRNA from 1 species
GGAGGAUGCAUUAUCAUUAACGAUGCUAAAAAGCGCCAGUAAAAUUUAAUUUUACGAUGCUUUAAAGCAUCGUUAGAAAAUAUUGCGAUGCUUUUAAAAAGCAUCGGUGCUUUUCGUCUUCACUUUUAUAUAGGCGACGCUUUUGCGACGCUUUUUGAAGCAUCGUAAAGCUUAGUUUCGACAUUUAUUAGUGUUGUAAAAUAUCUUUUAUAGCAUCGCCUUUUACCAUUUUCACUGUAGUGGCUUCAAUAUCGAAAAAAAAGAG